ensembl:lncRNA
UGAGGAUAUGAGAGUGGUUGUGGGGAUCACAUCUACGGUUGUGGAAGCUUCCGUUUCUGUUGAUGAUGCUGCUGUUGUUGAAGCAGCCUUUGUUGCUGUUGAUGGUGCAGUUGUACUUGGUGAGGAUAUAAGUGUGGUUAUAGGGAUCACAUCUAUGGUUGUGGAAGCCUCAGUUUCUGUUGAUGUUGCUGUUGUUGUUGUACUUGGUGAGGAUAUGAGAGUGGUUGUGGGGCUCAUAUUUAUGGUUGUGGAAGCUUCAGUUUCUGUUGAUGGUGCUGUUGUUGUUGCACUUGGUGAGGAUAUGAGAGUGGUUGUGGGGCUCAUAUUUAUGGUUGUGGAAGCUUCAGUUUCUGUUGACAGUGCUGUUGUUGUUGGAGCAGCAUUUGUUUCUGUUGACGAUGCAGUUGUACUUGGUGAGGACAUAAGUGUGGUUGUGGGGAUCACAUCUAUGGUUGUGGAAGCUUUAGUUUCUGUUGAUGGUGCUGUAGUUGUUGUACUUAGUGAGGAUAUCAGAGCGGUUGUGGGGGUCACCUCUGUGGUUGUGGAAGCCUCAGUUUCUGUUGAUGAUCCUGUUGUUGUUGUUGUAGCAGCAUUUGUUGUUGAUGGUGCAGUUGUGCUUGGUGAGGAUAUGAGAGUGGUUGUGGGGGUCACCUCUAUGGUUGUGGAAGCUUCCGUUUCUGUUGAUGGUGCUGUUGUUGUUGAAGCAGCAUUUGUUGCUGUUGAAGGUGCAGUUGUACUUGGUGAGGACAUAAGUGUGGCUGUGGGGAUAACCUCUAUAGUUGUGGAAGCUUCAGUUUCUGUUGAUGGUGCUGUUGUUGUUGAAGCAUCAUUUGUUGUUGAUGGUGCAGUUGUACUUGGUGAGGAAAUGAGAGUGGUUGUGGAAGCUUCAGUUUCUGUUGAUGGUGCUGUUGUACUUGGUGAGGAUAUGAGAGUGGUUGUGGGGGUCACAUCUAUGGUUGUGGAAACUUCCGUUUCUGUUGAUGGUGCUGUUGUUGUUGCACUUGGUGAGGAUAUGAGAGUGGUUGUGGGGAUCACCUCUAUAGUUGUAGAAGCUUCAGUUUCUGUUGAUGAUGCUGUUGUUGCUGAAGCAACAUUUGUUGUUGAAAGUGUAGUUGUACUUGGUGAGGAUAUAAGUGUGGUUGUGGGGAUCACAUCUAUGGUUGUGGAAGCUUCAGUUUCUGUUGAUGGUGCUGUUGUUGUUGAAGCAGCAUUUGUUACUGUUGAAAGUGUAGUUGUACUUGGUGAGGAUAUAAGUGUGGUUGUGGGCGUCAUCUCUAUGGUUGUGGAAGCGUCGGUUUCUGAUGAUGAUGCUAUUGUUGUACUUGGUGAGGAUAUAUGUGUGGUUGUUGGAAUGACAUCUACGGUUGUGGAAGCUUCAGUUUCUGUUGAUGGUGCUCUUGUUGUUAAAGCAGCAUUUGUUGCUGUUGAUGGUGCAUUUGUACUUGGUGAGAAUAUGAGAGUGGUUGUGGGGAUCACAUCUGUGGUUGUGAAAGCUCCAGUUUCUGUUGUCAUUGAAAAUGACAUUGCUGUUUGACCUGUAGCUGUUGCUGAAGAUACAUUUUCUGUAGGAGCCUCAGUUGUAGAUGCAAUUGAUAUUGAAUCUGUAGUUGUUGGAGAUGUAGUUGUGAAAGUCGCAGCUAUGCAUGUAUUUUGUUUGAGGGUCAUAGCUGUGGUAAGAGAUGCUUUAGUUCUUAUUAUACAAACUUCACUGGCUGUUGAAAUUGGUGUUGUUGGUGUUAUGGAGGAUGUACCUCCACAAACAAUGCACCAUACAUAUACUGUCAAGAAAAAAAAUAUAUAUAUAUAUUUAAUUGCUGUAUUAACUUUUGACCAUUUGAAAUUUAAAUGACACUAUUAUCAAAUUCCAUGAACAUUUUAAUAGCAUUUGAUUACGUCACAUUUUUAUUUAACAAUUUCUCAACACAAAAUAUCCAGAUUAAGAGUAUACGUACAUAUGGUGAGGAAUACGGCCCAUCUGGCCUCAUAUUUUGAAAUGAAACACCACCUAAAAUAGAAGAUAACAAUUUAUAUUUUGUCUUUAAUAAAUUACAAAACAUUCAUGUAUUCA